rnacentral:rRNA from 1 species
UGGGGAAUUUUGGACAAUGGGGGCAACCCUGAUCCAGCAAUGCCGCGUGAGUGAUGAAGGCCUUCGGGUCGUAAAGCUCUGUCGUAUGGGACUAACAAAAUGAAGGUACCAUGCAAGAAAGGAUCGGCUAACUUCGUG